AACCUCUUUGACUGGAAGGAAUCCUUCCGCUCAAAGAGGUUACAAAACCUCUUUGACUGGAAAGCCUUCGAAGAGGUUACAAAACCCCUUUGACUGGAAAUUCCUUCCAGUUGAAGAGUUUCUGUAACCCCUUUGACCGGAAGAAUUCCUUCCAGUCGCAGAGGUU
rnacentral:miRNA from 1 species